UACGUAGGGUGCAGGCGUUAAUCGGAAUUACUGGGCGUAAAGCGUGCGCAGGCGGUUUGUUAAGACAGAUGUGAAAUCCCCGGGCUUAACCUGGGAACUGCGUUUGUAACUGGCAAGCUAGAGUGUGGCAGAGGGGGGUGGAAUUCCAAGUGUAGCAGUGAAAUGCGUAGAUAUUUGGAGGAACACCAAUGGCGAAGGCAGCCCCCUGGGUUGACACUGACGCUGAGGCGCGAAAGCGUGGGGAGCAAACAGG
rnacentral:rRNA from 1 species